GGGAGAGAGGAUGCUUGCUUAGGAAAAAGUUGGACCAGUACAAAGACGAUUAGCAUGGCCUUUGCACCAUGAUGACAAGCAAAUUUAUAAAGCAAUUCCAUAUUUUA
rnacentral:snRNA from 1 species